rnacentral:rRNA from 1 species
AACGAACGCUGGCGGCAUGCCUAACACAUGCAAGUCGAACGAGACCUUCGGGUCUAGUGGCGCACGGGUGCGUACCGCGUGGGAAGCUGCCCUUAGGUUCGGAAUCACUCCCCGAAAGGGGUGCUAAUACCGGAUAAUGUCUUCGGACCAAAGAUUUAUCGCCUUUGGAUGGGCCCGCGUUGGAUUAGCUAGUUGGUAGGGUAAAAGCCUCCCAAGGCGAGGAUCCAUAGCUGGUCUGAGAGGAUGAUCAGCUACACUGGGAAUGCGGCACGGCCCAGACUCCUACGGGAGGCAGCAGAGGAGAAUAUUGGACAAGGGGCGAAAGCCUGAUCCAGCAAUGCCGCGUGAGUGAUGAAGGCCUUAGGGUUGUAAAGCUCUUUGACCCGGGAUGAUAAUGACAGUACCGGGUGAAGAAGCACCGGCUAACUCCGUG